rnacentral:rRNA from 1 species
GAUGAACGCUAGCUACAGGCUUAACACAUGCAAGUCGAGGGGAAACGGCAUUGAGUGCUUGCACUCUUUGGACGUCGACCGGCGCACGGGUGAGUAACGCGUAUCCAACCUUCCCAUUACUGUGGGAUAACCUGCCGAAAGGCAGACUAAUACCGCAUAGUCUUCGAUGACGGCAUCAGAUUUGAAGUAAAGAUUUAUCGGUGAUGGAUGGGGAUGCGUCUGAUUAGCUUGUUGGCGGGGUAACGGCCCACCAAGGCGACGAUCAGUAGGGGUUCUGAGAGGAAGGUCCCCGACAUUGGAACUGGGACACGGUCCAAACUCCUACGGGAGGCAGCAGUGCGGAAUAUUGGUCAAUGGACGGAAGUCUGAACCAGCCAAGUAGCGUGCAGGAUGACGGCCCUAUGGGUUGUAAACUGCUUUUGUAUGGGGAUAAAGUUAGGGACGUGUCCCUAUUUGCAGGUACCAUACGAAUAAGGACCGGCUAAUUCCGUG